GUGUCUGUGGCUCAGUGGUAGAGCGCUUGCCUAGCAUGUAUGAGGCUCGGAGUUUGAUCCUCAGCAUCACA
rfam:Ictidomys tridecemlineatus contig123905, whole genome shotgun sequence.